ACCAAAUAUAGAUAUCGAGGUUCUUUCGAAAUCCAUUCGAAAGCUAAGAGGGAAUUCGGUGAGCGAUACAAUCGCAAUCCCGAAGCUGCCCCCGCAACUGUAAGCAGUUAGCAACUGUCGCGUAUGCCACUGAUGUCAUUUUUACAUUGGGAAGGCGGACACAAGCAUUGAUCUGCAAGCCAGGAGACCUGCCCCGAUAAAAGUCAAUUC
rnacentral:ncRNA from 2 species